UACGGAGGGUGCAAGCGUUAUCCGGAUUCACUGGGUUUAAAGGGUGCGUAGGGGGGUUGGUAAGUCAGUGGUGAAAUCUCCGAGCUUAACUUGGAAACUGCCAUUGAUACUAUCAGUCUUGAAUAUUGUGGAGGUUAGCGGAAUAUGUCAUGUAGCGGUGAAAUGCUUAGAUAUGACAUAGAACACCAAUUGCGAAGGCAGCUGGCUACGCAUAUAUUGACACUGAGGCACGAAAGCGUGGGGAUCAAACAGG
rnacentral:rRNA from 1 species